rnacentral:lncRNA from 1 species
AAAAAAACCCGUGUUUAGUAAGAAACGACGACAAAUUAAUGUCUUUUUUAGGAAAUUAUAAUUGUAGUACCUGAAUAUAGCUCGAUGUACAAAAGAUGAGUACUUGUCCAGUGUAUGGCUGGACUGAGAAAGAUCUUGCUGACAAUAGAUGCCAAACUGAAAUCAGGGUCUUGGAAUAAAUGCCUGAAAAUAUGUGAAAUGUACAUCAGAAAAUGAAGAAAUUAAUCCAUCCAGCUUUUGAGAAAAAAACUUAGGCUGUUAAUUCGGAAAGAGAGAAGAAAAAUUAAAAAUGUUAAAUCAGUUUCUUACAAUAAUGAUAGCCUAAGUUUAGAAAUAAUUAAAAGUUGUUUUUGUUACAAAAGAUAUUUGGAUACGAUUAGGGCUGGGCAAAUCUCUCGAGACCGAACAGAACCCGAAUCGAACUGAAUCGAACCUAAUGGUUCUUGUCGUAUUAAAUACCCGAAUGAGUAUUUGAAUUAAGAACCGACGGGUACGGUUCGGUUCUUGGUUCUAGACCAAGAACUGAAUAAUUUUUUAAUUUUAAUUUUUUCUAAACAAAUCAACAAUUUCUAAAUCCAAAAUUUUGGCCCAAUAAUUUGUUUCAUUUAUAAUUUUUUAAUUUUUGGUCCAAUUACCCAUUUUAUUGUUUCAUUUCUUAGCCCAACAAGAUCCAAUCUACGAAAUAACCAGAAACACCUACACUAAAGUGCAUAACGUUAUCUCGACUCUCGUAGCCUCACUAACAUUCCAAAACCUAUACAAUCGUCGGUCGACACUGUGACCUUCGAUCAAAACUGUGACCUCCGCCGAUCGAAACUUUGACCGUAGCGAUCAUUGGAAUAAGAUAGUCUACUAAUCUCUGACAUUCCAAAAUUAUUGAAUGUAUCAUUAGUUGUAUUUAUAUAAUAUUGUUAUAAAUGUUAAAAAAAUAUAAUUAUAGUACAGAAUCGAACGGAACCAAACCGAACCGAACUCGAACGGUUCCAUUUACUAGAUACCCGAAAAUUUUGGUUCGGUUCGGUUCUCUUUAGAACCGAAUCGAAUCGAUACGCGCCUACCUCUAAAUACGAUGCUAUUUCCUUUUACUCUUAAAAAAAAUAAUUCCAAGUAACUCAUAUUUAAGUACAAGUGAACUUUAAAAGCUUACCAAACAUGCUCUAAAUGAACUUACGAGGAAAUAACAAAACGUUGGAUAGUUUCGACAACAUAGAACUGAAACUAAACAAUGUACAACUACCCAGUAAUUACUAUUGCAACCCAUAUGAUGUUUCAUAGCAGAAUUUAUUACUGCCUGCCUUCGAUGUUGAGCCAUGAUUUUAUAGCAUAUUGGAGAGUGACCUCUCAAUAACUUGUUGCCUUCUACAGCAUCAAGCUUGGUAGUGGACGAGAUUAGAUAGGAAAGUACAGUGAAAAUGAUUUUUGCGUAUUUUUCGAGUAUUGCAGGGUGUACAUCACAGAACAAAUCAUGACAGUAAUGGGAUUUGAAAAUUGGGAGCUGGUGCCUGGAGGGUUGCAAAUCCAGUUAAUCAAUACGUAAGCCAAAUUUUUUAAAUUUAUUUUUAUACUUUUUUAUGAUUUUAUUGACAAAGGGCUUUAGACUAAGGGGGAUUGCCAGUACACGAUUCCAUUUUCUAAUAUCAACUGACAAACUCCACAUGCCAUGUAAAGAGGUCCAGAACCCCACCUCCACCCACCUCACAAAACAUUGUCCACGAUAAAAAUGACCAGUACAAGUAUGCCCUUCCACCCCAUUCCAAUAUUCACACCAGAUCUGACUGACCCACAUUCUUUCUUUCAGUAAAAUAAAAAAAAAUAUUGCCUUUAUAUACGUAACAGUACAGCCCCUCUAAAAGCUCUAAUCUCCAUUUCCCAGCAGCCUUUCCUUGAGAAAGCCAAACGACAAAGAAUAAACUGGCUUCUUUGCUCUAGAGAAAACCCAGAAAAAACAUCUCUUCUUAGCUCUGUGGGUGUUCGUACUCCAGUUAUUUGAUACACAGAAAGGUGGGAGAUAAUGGUGGGUAUUGGGUUAUGGGUCCAUUCUAGUUUUUUUUUCAUUUCUUAUUACCCUCAAUAGUAUACGCUGUGUGCCUUGAUCACUGGAAUCCAAAAAAGUUAAUCAUUUUAUACCAAUGCACAUCAGUCAUCAAACAAAUGAUUUCCUAGACCUCUGUCUCCUAUCUUCUCUUCUGUCUGAGUUCCCCAUUUCCCCGAGAAAUAGAAGGUACAAUCUUAUUCCACGGUAAAUCAUCCUCAGCCGUGUCCACUUCAUUCACAAGGAAACUCCGUGAAAGUUUUGAAGGCACAAACUGGUGAAUUCACAAAGGUCGAACAGAGAUUUCAAUUUUCUUGUGUUUCAGCUUCCAGGAAAGAAACAAACAUGUCUGCAAAGUUUAUAUCUUCUUUAACAGACGAGAACCCGGAUCUGCGGAAGCAAAUCGGGUGCAUGACGGGGAUAUUUCAGCUCUUUGAUCGCCAUCAUUCCCUAGCUGGCCGGCGAAUGAGCAGCCACAAUCACAAAAGGCUACUUCAAGGUAUUCUAAAGAUCUAUUUUUCAGUUUAAGAAACCAGAAACUUCAAAAAUAAAACUUGUAUCAACUAAGAACUUUAGCUAAGGUCUUUUUACACACAGAGUUAUUGUUUUAUUUUAUUCAUCGAUUUUUUAAAAGAGUAUCAUGCAAUGGUUAGCUAUAGGAACAGCAGGAUUAACGACUAUUUCUGAGUCCUGCAUCGACUGUGGUGCCCUUAAGGCAGACCUUCCACGAGGGAUACGAGGCUUAGAAUCAGUCGUUACAAAUGCUGCCUUCACCAUGAUGCAGAUUUCUGCAUUUUGAUCUAAUAUUAUGUAAACUUCUUAAGCAUUAGAUUGCCAGGGAUGCAUGUUCAUAAUUCUUGAAUGGGAAUUUGCGUGUUUGUUCUGUAAUAUCACAGUAUAAAUGCAGAUCUUAUUUUACUUCAACCUUUGUUCACAAAAUCACUUAAAUAUAUUGUUACUGUUACAUGUAUAGUAUAGCAAAAGCAACACAAGCUAUUAGAUUUAAUUUUCGAUCAAUACUACUAUGUGGAGUGUUCGGUUCUUGCCUCUUUCUCUAUCACAUCUUGGACAAGUUGAACUCUAGCAUUACAAUCACCAUUAUCUAACAGUACUCCAUUUUUUUUGUUUGUCAAGGUGCCAACCACGACAUUGACCCCAAAUAUCCAACAAAAACUGCAACAGUAAGGGUGCGUUUGGUUUGCGUUUUUGCUUUUUUAUUUUCAGCUUUGAAUUCAUUUUCUAUUUUGAGAUAUUGUUUUAAAAUUGCUGAAAACACGUUUGGUUUGUCAUUCUAAAAACUAUUUUUCAAAACAAAAAAUUAGGAAGCACAUUUAGUUUAAAAACUUUAGAAGCAGUUUUAUAAUAUUUUGGAGGAGCUUGGGAAGAGAGAGAGAGAGAGAGAGUUGGAGAUUAAUACUUAUAUUUGAGUAAGUUUUGUGUGAUUUUAUUAAUUAUUUUAAUUUGGAAAAUUUUUAAAUUCAUUUUCCUUAUUUUGAGUUUUUUGAAUGCUUUCAAUAAAAACACUCAAAACGUACAUUUUGAGUUUUGAGUUGUAAAAUUUUCCUCAUUUUCGAAAACGCAUUUUUAAAAAUAACAUACGAAAAUGUUUUGAGUGUGUUUGAAAAUUGAAAAUUAAAAAUGAUCUCAAAACGACAAACCAAUCGCACUCUAACAUUUUGAACAAUUUCAUUGUUCUUUUGGGAAACAAGUGAAAAAUGUGCCUCAUUUGUUAUAUUUUCUGCUAGCAUUGGUUAUUAAUCAGAGGAAAUUUAAAGAAAACUUACAUUUUCAGGAAAAAAAUCUGAAGAAGGUGCCAAAAGAGAAACCAAGAAUCUCCAGCAAAAUAUACCAGGCAUCAGAUUCAUCUUCC